GCACCUGAAAACAGACGAAAAGGUGACAAAACUAUCU
rnacentral:sRNA from 1 species